AUACGUAGGUGGCAAGCGUUGUCCGGAUUUACUGGGUGUAAAGGGUGCGUAGGCGGGGCAGCAAGUUGGAUGUGAAAUCCUCGGGCUCAACUCGAGAACUGCAUUCAAAACUGUUGCUCUUGAGUGCAGUAGAGGCAAGCGGAAUUCCCGGUGUAGCGGUGAAAUGCGCAGAGAUCGGGAGGAACACCAGUGGCGAAGGCGGCUUGCUGGGCUGUUACUGACGCUGAGGCACGAAAGCAUGGGGAGCAAACAGGAUUAGAUACCCUGGUAGUCCACGCUGUAAACGAUGAAUACUAGGUGUAGGGGGUAUCAACUCCCUCUGUGCCGCAGCAAACGCAAUAAGUAUUCCGCCUGGGGAGUACGGCCGCAAGGUUGAAACUCAAAUGAAUUGACGGGG
rnacentral:rRNA from 1 species